UACGUAGGUGGCAAGCGUUGUCCGGAUUUAUUGGGCGUAAAGAGCGUGUAGGCGGCCUGAUAGGUCAGCUGUGAAAACUCGAGGCUCAACCUCGAGAUGUCGGCUGAAACCAUCUGGCUAGAGUCCGGAAGAGGAGAAUGGAAUUCCCGGUGUAGCGGUGAAAUGCGCAGAUAUCGGGAAGAACACCCGUGGCGAAGGCGGUUCUCUGGGACGGUACUGACGCUGAGACGCGAAAGCGUGGGGAGCGAACAGG
rnacentral:rRNA from 1 species